rnacentral:rRNA from 1 species
UUUUUAUGGAGAGUUUGAUCCUGGCUCAGGACGAACGCUGGCGGCAUGCCUCACACAUGCA